UUCGCAAGAACGCCAUGAAAUGUGCUCUCAGGUGGCAAGUGUAUGGUCAUAGAGUCAUACAGUGUGGAAACAGCCCUUCAGCCCAACAUGUCCACACCAACCAACAUGUCCCGUCUACACUAUUCCCAGCUGCCUGCGUUUGGCCCAUAUUCCUCUAAAACCUAUCCUAUCCAUGUACCUGUCUAAAUGUUUCUUAAACAUUGUGAUCAUACCUGUCUCAACUGCCGCUUCCGGCAGCUCAUACUAUACAU